rnacentral:lncRNA from 1 species
GUACUCAUACACACCAGAACACACACAACCACCACCACACGGUGGCUGAUGGCGACGGGAGAUGGCAGCGGUGGCAGCCACCAUGGCUGGCGGCCAUGGUGGUUGUUGUUCUUGGUUUCUGGCCCACAACAUACAAAAACACUUCACGGUGAAGCAGCAACACCUUAACGCGAGCCCAUGCACCAUACGAGUGCAGCUGGUCCCUUCUAAUGGCAGCAAAUCUCGACCGGAGCACUGAAAUAGAAGAUUGCUCGAAAGAUGGCAGUGGCAGCGACUAGCUACUGUGGAAUGGAGUCGUAGUCGAAGACAGUUGGGAAAGUACCGACAAUAGACUCGGUGGCUACGGGUGGUGACAUAAAGAAUGAGAAGGAGAACAGUGGAGGUGUGGCGGCAAUGACGGUUGGGCUUCAACAGUUAACAACAACAACCAUUCCUCCGAAUGUCGUACUCUCUUUCUGACGUAGAAAGGGGUUGGCUCCGACAGUCUCCAUCUUCAAUGGUACUAGGGUUUUAUUAGGCCCACUAGGGUUUCAUAAAUCGGGCACCACCCACUACCACCUCGGGUAGUGGUGGUCAAUGACGGCUCACGGCGGCAGCCACCACCCCACUGUGGUGGUUAUGGUUCUAGUCCAUUUGUUCAAGCAUCCCAAAAAAAAAUCCAAACACAAACAAGCACACCGCCACCCAACACAGCGGUUGGUGGCAGCAGCCACCACCUCACGGUGGUGGUUAUGAGUUUCUUUUCAUUAUUCUAAUCUCUAAUUACAUUUUACAAUGCUUUAACCCAAAAAAAUAAACACACACACUAAUAGAAAAACACACACAACCACCCUUGUGGUGGCCGACGGUGGUAGAUGGUGGCAGCCACCACCUCACGGUGGUGGUGGUAGCUUUUCUCGGUUUUCCGGUCAAACAAAACACCCCAAAUGUACUCAUACACACCAGAACACACACAACCACCACCACACGGUGGCUGAUGGCGACGGGAGAUGGCAGCGGUGGCAGCCACCAUGGCUGGCGGCCAUGGUGGUUGUUGUUCUUGGUUUCUGGCCCACAACAUACAAAAACACUUCACGGUGAAGCAGCAACACCUUAACGCGAGCCCAUGCACCAUACGAGUGCAGCUGGUCCCUUCUAAUGGCAGCAAAUCUCGACCGGAGCACUGAAAUAGAAGAUUGCUCGAAAGAUGGCAGUGGCAGCAACUAGCUACUGUGGAAUGGAGUCGUAGUCGAAGACAGUUGGGAAAGUACCGACAAUAGACUCGGUGGCUACGGGUGGUGACAUAAAGAAUGAGAAGGAGAACAGUGGAGGUGUGGCGGCAAUGACGGUUGGGCUUCAACAGUUAACAACAACAACCAUUCCUCCGAAUGUCGUACUCUCUUUCUGACGUAGAAAGGGGUUGGCUCCGACAGUCUCCAUCUUCAAUGGUACUAGGGUUUUAUUAGGCCCACUAGGGUUUCAU